ACAAUGGUAGUUCAGUGGUAGAACCCUCACCUUUCAUGCGGGAGACCCAGGUUCAAUUCCCAGCCAGUGUA
rnacentral:tRNA from 1 species